rnacentral:rRNA from 1 species
UACGUAGGGUCCGAGCGUUAAUCGGAAUUACUGGGCGUAAAGAGCUCGUAGGCGGUUUGUCACGUCUGCUGUGAAAACUCGGGGCUUAACUCCGGGCCUGCAGUGGGUACGGGCAGACUAGAGUGCGGUAGGGGAGACUGGAAUUCCUGGUGUAGCGGUGAAAUGCGCAGAUAUCAGGAGGAACACCGGUGGCGAAGGCGGGUCUCUGGGCCGUAACUGACGCUGAGGAGCGAAAGCGUGGGGAGCGAACAGG